rnacentral:rRNA from 1 species
CCUACGGGUGGCAGCAGUGAGGAAUAUUGGUCAAUGGGCGGAAGCCUGAACCAGCCAAGUCGCGUGAGGGAUUAAGGCCCUGCGGGUCGUAAACCUCUUUUGCCGGGGAGCAGUGGUCCGGACGCGUCCGGACCGGGAGAGUACCCGGAGAAAAAGCAUCGGCUAACUCCGUGCCAGCAGCCGCGGUAAUACGGAGGAUGCGAGCGUUAUCCGGAUUUAUUGGGUUUAAAGGGUGCGUAGGCGGGUUGUUAAGUCAGUUGUGAAAGUUUGCGGCUCAACCAUAAAAUUGCAGUUGAUACUGGCAGCCUUGAGUACAGUAGAGGUAGGCGGAAUUCGUGGUGUAGCGGUGAAAUGCUUAGAUAUCACGAAGAACUCCGAUUGCGAAGGCAGCCUGCUGGACUGUAACUGACGCUGAUGCUCGAAAGUGUGGGUAUCAAACAGGAUUAGAUACCCCUGUAGUC